UGCAGGAGCUAGUCUCAGGUGUUCUG
rnacentral:piRNA from 1 species